rnacentral:rRNA from 1 species
CGGCAAAAGCUCAAAUUUGAAAUCUGGCACUUUCAGUGUCCGAGUUGUAAUUUGAAGAAGGUAACUUUGGAGUUGGCCCUUGUCUAUGUUCCUUGGAACAGGACGUCACAGAGGGUGAGAAUCCCGUGCGAUGAGGUGUCCAAUUCUAUGUAAAGUGCUUUCGA